CCGCUAUAAAUAGCCCCGCAGCGAGCGCACGUGUCUCUCUGCGCGCCGGGCCGGGCCAUGGGGAGCUCGGACCCCUGGGUUCCCUCCUGGGGGGGGUGCACCUCACUCCCGACCUGCAGCCCCUGUUCUGGGGGGCCGGACCCCGCGUGGGGCGGGACGCUCAGGUGAGGGUCGCGGGGGCCGAGAUCUGAUCAGAGCCUCCAACGGGAACAAGGGUUCGCGGCCACCUGCUCCCCACGGCUGGGUUCUCUCCCCAGCUCUGGGAGGGGAGCGGGGGCUGGUCGGUCAGAGCAGGGGGUCUGGGAGCCAGGACACCUGGGUUCUCUCCCCGGCUCUGGGAGGGGGGUGGGAGCUGGUGGGUUAGAGUGGGGGGUGGGAGCCAGGACACCUGGGUUCUCUCCCUGGCAGGGGGUAAAUGCUCUGUUGGUGAUUUGCAGGUGGUGGUGAUGUGUGGCGGCUCUGGAGCUGAGGACCUCGGGGCAUGUGGGUGGUGGUGAUGUGCAGCGUUGAUGCUGAGGACCCCGGGGUGUCUCGGGCUGGAUUCUCACCCCAUGUCUAUCUCUGACAUGAGCCCAGUGUGGUGAGACCCCCGGGGUCUCUGGAUGGAGAGCCCAUGGCCAGAGCAGUGUGGUGGCAGGGCACUGUGACAUUAAGACUCAGCUGGGUGGCUCCUGGGGUGUCUGCUUUCUAAGGAAAGGUGCUUGGUGGAUUUUGGCUUCAGCUACUCACCAGCGUCCCCCCGGGCUGCGACGGAGACGGAAAUCCAGGGGGAUGGGACAGGCUGCUGGAUGGGGAACUGGAAGGAGAAGUGGUGGGACUGCAGAGCUCAGGCCGGCCUCGAGGACAGGAGCCGGCACCGCCAGCAGCAUGGGGGGAGGGGGAGGACUUGGGCCUGGGCUGCCCCAUAAAGGGGGGAUGUCUCCUCAAUAAACAACGGUGGAAACAAUGGAGGG
rnacentral:lncRNA from 1 species